AACGCACCUUGCGCUCCCUGGUAUUCCGAGGAGCACGCCUGUUCGAGUGUCGUGAAAUUCUCAAGCUGGGGGUUACUUUUGUUGUCAAAAGUUAAUCCUCUUGUCUUGGUUGUUGGGCUUUGCCGUGUCCUGUAUUGGAACGGCUGGCCUUAAAGGCAUUAGCUGAUCCUAACAAGUGUUGGUUCUACUCAGUGUGAUAAUGUUUCUGAUCGCUGAGGGCAUCUCCUUUGAGGAGAUGGCCAAUCUGUGUCUGGGUUGCUUCUAAUCUGGAUUACGCUGUGAAUCCUUCUGGAUUCCUGUGUUCCGCUCGCAAUUUUGACCUCGAAUCAGGUGGGACUACCCGCUGAACUUAA
rnacentral:misc_RNA from 1 species